UCCCAAUGCAAAGUCUAUGGCCAGCCGCGACCUGACGCGACUUGGCGACCGCCGGCUGCCUGCGACGCGACCUGACGCGACCUAGCGACCGGUCGCCAAGGCGCGUCCCCGAGGUCGCGUCGCCGAGGUCGCAGGACGCCAAGUCGCGUCGCUCCCAAAGUUCAAAUAUUUGAACUUUGGGAGCGACUCCGUGCCGCGACAGCCAAUCAGGGCUCUGCUGACGUCAACAAACCGGCGAAACAAGGAAGAGGAGAAGAAGAAUCACAAUGGAGGAGCAGUUAAUCACAUCCGUUAGCUACCACCCGGUGCUAUACGACGUGGGUUGCGGGCUGUACCGGGACCGCAACGCCAAAGAAGAAGCAUGGGGGAAGGUGGCCCGUGAUGUCGGGCUUUCUGGUAAGCUUGUUUGUUUAUUUAUUUAUUUCAGUGAGUGGACUGUUUUAUGAAAACAUAGAUAACUGCCCCUGCUUGCUAGGGUACAUGUUUCAACGUAUGUGUGUGUGUCUUUGCAGAGGAUGUGUGCCGCAAGCGGUGGAAGGGGCUUAGGGACGUUUAUAUGAGGGAGAAAAGGAGAGAGAAGGAAGGUGGGAGAAGCGGGUCGGCGGCCUCCCAGCAGAAGAAGUGGCGUUUCUCUGCGGUAAUGUCGUUCCUCGACCCUUUUAUGGCCCCGAGGGAGACAAGCAGCAACAUGUCUCGGGAGGUCAAGGAAGACAUCACCGCAGAAAAUGCUGCUGGGAUGCCCGAAGAGCUUGAGGAAGCAGGCCCCUCAGGAGUGGAGUUUGACGGUUAGUUGAUGAGUG
rnacentral:lncRNA from 1 species